UCAGCAGCCGCGGUAAUACGGAGGGUCCGAGCGUUAUCCGGAAUUAUUGGGUUUAAAGGGUCCGUAGGCGGAUGAUUAAGUCAGGGGUGAAAGUUUGCAGCUCAACUGUAAAAUUGCCUUUGAUACUGGUCAUCUUGAGUUGUAUUGAAGUAGGCGGAAUAUGUAGUGUAGCGGUGAAAUGCAUAGAUAUUACAUAGAACACCAAUUGCGAAGGCAGCUUACUAAGUACUAACUGACGCUGAUGGACGAAAGCGUGGGUAGCGAACAGGAUUAGAUACCCUGGUAGUCCACGCCGUAAACGAUGGAUACUAGCUGUUCGGGACCUUGAGUUCUGAGCGGCUAAGCGAAAGUGAUAAGUAUCCCACCUGGGGAGUACGUUCGCAAGAAUGAAACUCAAAGGAUUGACGGA
rnacentral:rRNA from 1 species